UCACUUGAGAGUUUGAUCCUGGCUCAGGAUGAACGCUGGCGGCGUGUCUAAGGCAUGCAAGUCGAACGAGUCCGCCGCAAGGCGGACAAGUGGCGAACGGGUGAGUAACACAUUGGUAACCUGCCCUGAAGUUCGGAACAACCAGGCGAAAGCUUGGCUAAUCCCGGAUGUGAUCCGCUGGCAUGAGUCGGCGGAGGAAAGGCGCAAGCCGCUUCAGGAGGGGCCUAUGGCUUAUCAGCUUGUUGGUGAGGUAAUGGCUCACCAAGGCUAUGACGAGUAGCGGGCGUGAGAGCGCGACCCGCCUCACGGGGACUGAGACACUGCCCCGACUCCUACGGGAGGCUGCAGUCGAGAAUCUUCCACAAUGGACGAAAGUCUGAUGGAGCGACGCCGCGUGCCAGAUGAAGCCCUUCGGGGUGUAAAUGGCUUUUCUCAGGGACGAAUUUAUGACGGUACCUGAGGAAUAAGGGGUUGCUAACUCUGUGCCAGCAGCAGCGGUAAUACAGAGACCCCGAGCGUUAUCCGGAUUCAUUGGGCGUAAAGCGUCUGUAGGCGGUUCCGUAGGUCGUUUGUGAAACUCCAGAGCUCAACUCCGGAUGCGCAGGCGAAACCGCGGAACUCGAGGCCGGGAGAGGCAGAUGGAAUUGCCGGUGUAACGGUAAAAUGUGUUAAUAUCGGCAAGAACACCAAAUGCGAAGGCAUUCUGCUGGAACGGACCUGACGCUGAGAGACGAAAGCGUGGGGAGCGAAUGGGAUUAGAUACCCCAGUAGUCCACGCCGUAAACGAUGAUCACUGGGCAUGCGCAGUAUCGACCCUGCUCGUGCCGUCUACCUAAGCUAACGCGUUAAGUGAUCCGCCUGGGGAGUACGGUCGCAAGACUAAAACUCAAAGGAAUUGACGGGGACCCGCACAAGUGGUGGAGCAUGUGGUUUAAUUCGACGGUAAGCGAGGAACCUCACCAGGACUUGACAUGUUAAGAAUCCCUCCGAAAGGAGGGAGUGCCGCAAGGAACUUAAACACAGGUGCUGCAUGGCUGUCGUCAGCUCGUGUCGUGAGAUGUACGGUUAAGUCCGAAAACGAGCGCAACCCUCAUUCUGCGUUUUACGUGUCGCAGAAAACUGCCGUGUUUAACACGGAGGAAGGCGGGGAUGACGUCAAGUCAGCAUGGCCC
rnacentral:rRNA from 1 species